AACGAACGCUGGCGGCAUGCCUAACACAUGCAAGUCGAACGAGACCUUCGGGUCUAGUGGCGCACGGGUGCGUAACGCGUGGGAACCUGCCCUUAGGUUCGGAAUAACUCCCCGAAAGGGGUGCUAAUACCGGAUAAUGUCUUCGGACCAAAGAUUUAUCGCCUUUGGAUGGGCCCGCGUUGGAUUAGCUAGUUGGUAGGGUAAAAGCCUACCAAGGCGACGAUCCAUAGCUGGUUUGAGAGGAUGAUCAGCCACACUGGGACUGAGACACGGCCCAGACUCCUACGGGAGGCAGCAGUGGGGAAUAUUGGACAAUGGGCGAAAGCCUGAUACAGCAAUGCCGCGUGAGUGAUGAAGGCCUUAGGGUUGUAAAGCUCUUUUACCCGGGAUGAUAAUGACAGUACCGGGAGAAUAAGCUCCGGCUAACUCCGUG
rnacentral:rRNA from 1 species